rnacentral:rRNA from 1 species
GUUCAACUGAUUUGAAGAGCUUGCUCAGAUAUGACGAUGGACAUUGCAAAGAGUGGCGAACGGGUGAGUAACACGUGGGAAACCUACCUCUUAGCAGGGGAUAACAUUUGGAAACAGAUGCUAAUACCGUAUAACAAUAGCAACCGCAUGGUUGCUACUUAAAAGAUGGUUCUGCUAUCACUAAGAGAUGGUCCCGCGGUGCAUUAGUUAGUUGGUGAGGUAAUGGCUCACCAAGACGAUGAUGCAUAGCCGAGUUGAGAGACUGAUCGGCCACAAUGGGACUGAGACACGGCCCAUACUCCUACGGGAGGCAGCAGUAGGGAAUCUUCCACAAUGGGCGAAAGCCUGAUGGAGCAACGCCGCGUGUGUGAUGAAGGGUUUCGGCUCGUAAACACUGUUGUAAGAGAAGAAUGACAUUGAGAGUAACUGUUCAAUGUGUGACGGUAUCUUACCAGAAGGAACGGCUAAAUACGUGCC